CAUGAUUUUAUCCACUUGGUUAUAAGCAGUGUUGGGCACGUUACUUUGAAAAAGUAAUUAGUUACAGUUACUAGUUACUUCUCCCAAAAAGUAACUGAGUUA